AAACCUUCAACAACGGAUCUCUUGGCUCUGGCAUCGAUGAAGAACGCAGCGAAACGCGAUAAGUAAUGUGAAUUGCAGAAUUUAGUGAAUCAUCGAAUCUUUGAACGCACAUUGCGCCCGCCAGUAUUCUGGCGGGCAUGCCUGUCCGAGCGUCAUUA
rnacentral:rRNA from 1 species